rnacentral:rRNA from 1 species
UACGUAGGGUGCAAGCGUUGUCCGGAAUUAUUGGGCGUAAAGAGCUCGUAGGCGGUUUGUUGCGUCGGCUGUGAAAUCCCGAGGCUCAACCUCGGGUCUGCAGUCGAUACGAGCAAACUAGAGUGUUGCAGGGGAGACUGGAAUUCCUGGUGUAGCGGUGAAAUGCGCAGAUAUCAGGAGGAACACCGGUGGCGAAGGCGGUUCUCUGGGCCUUACCUGACGCUGGAGGAGCGAAAAGCGUUGGGGAGCGAACAGG